CUUUCUUUUCCUUCAAGAUCUACCACGUCUCUUAAAUUCUGAAACGGUCCAUUAAUUCAUCCGUAACUGUUCACUCAUUCUCUUUAACUUGUCACAUCUCCUUGUAUUCUAACCAACUCGUACCUCUACAUGUGCUGAUGAAUUUCGACGGAUUCUAUUGUUCUUUCUAUUCUAUUCUAUAUUGUAUUCUUUUUUCUUCCUUCUUUCUCUAGCUCUUUCUCUCUUCCUGAUUUUGAAAUUUCGUUGUCCAAUAGGACAUAUAUACACUAAUGUGAAUUUGCUACCAAGUCAAGGUCUUGAUAACACUAAAUGAGUUCCUGCUGGGAUUUUACAGAAAGAACGUGGAGUCAGAGCAUGAGAUUUUCAAUUAAGCUUUUACAUAAGGCGACUGGGCAUAUUCUAAGAUGGGAGAGGCGCGUGUUUUUUAUGCUCCAUAUGGAGAUUUUCUGAAGCCAACAAUCUAUGAGGUUGCCGAGCUAUCGACUAUAUGAAUGAAUGUAACUUUGUUGAAUGGGGCAAGUAGGGUCCUUCCUCAAGACAACCUUUCUUCAUUAAACUGAUUCCCUUCUUUUUGUUUUUUCUUGCGUGAUAAAAAUGUAUAAACAUUUUCCUUUACUUUUCGAGCAUCUUAUGUUAUAUACCUUCAAUUUGGUAUUAGUUUCUUAAAAUAUCUCCUUUAUUA